AUUGAACGCUGGCGGCAUGCUUUACACAUGCAAGUCGAACGGUAACAGGGUGCUUGCACCGCUGACGAGUGGCGAACGGGUGAGUAAUGCGUCGGAACGUGCCGAGUAGUGGGGGAUAACGCAUCGAAAGGUGUGCUAAUACCGCAUACGUACUGAGGUAGAAAGUGGGGGACCUUCGGGCCUCACGCUAUUCGAGCGGCCGACGUCUGAUUAGCUAGUUGGUGAGGUAAAGGCUCACCAAGGCGACGAUCAGUAGCGGGUCUGAGAGGAUGAUCCGCCACACUGGGACUGAGACACGGCCCAGACUCCUACGGGAGGCAGCAGUGGGGAAUUGUGGACAAUGGGCGCAAGCCUGAUCCAGCCAUGCCGCGUGUCUGAAGAAGGCCUUCGGGUUGUAAAGGACUUUUGUCCGGGAGCAAAUACCCAGUGCUAAUAACGCUGGGGGCUGAGAGUACCGGAAGAAUAAGCACCGGCUAACUACGUGCCAGCCGCCGCGGUAA
rnacentral:rRNA from 1 species